CCUACGGGAGGCAGCAGUAGGGAAUCUUUCACAAUGGGCGAAAGCCUGAUGGAGCAACGCCGCGUGCAGGAUGAAGGCCUUCGGGUUGUAAACUGCUUUUAUAAGCGAGAAAUAUGAUGGUAACUUAUGAAUAAGGAUCGGCUAACUACGUGCCAGCAGCCGCGGUCAUACGUAGGAUCCGAGCAUUAUCCGGAGUGACUGGGUGUAAAGAGUUGCGUAGGUGGCAUAAUAAGUAGCUAGUGAAAUCUGGUGGCUCAACCAUUCAGACUAUUAGCUAAACUGUUAAGCUCGAGACCGUUAGGGGUAACUGGAAUGUCUGGUGUAGGGGUGAAAUCCGUAGAUAUUAGAAGGAACACCGAUUGCGUAGGCAGGUUGCUGGGACGGUUCUGACGCUGAGGCACGAAAGCGUAGGGAGCAAACGGGAUUAGAUACCCUUGUAGUC
rnacentral:rRNA from 1 species